GACGAACGCUGGCGGCGUGCUUAACACAUGCAAGUCGAACGGAAAGGCCCUGCUUUUGUGGGGUGCUCGAGUGGCGAACGGGUGAGUAACACGUGAGUAACCUGCCCUUGACUUUGGGAUAACUUCAGGAAACUGGGGCUAAUACCGGAUAGGAGCUCCUGCUGCAUGGUGGGGGUUGGAAAGUUUCGGCGGUUGGGGAUGGACUCGCGGCUUAUCAGCUUGUUGGUGGGGUAGUGGCUUACCAAGGCUUUGACGGGUAGCCGGCCUGAGAGGGUGACCGGCCACAUUGGGAAUGAGAUACGGCCCCGACUCCUACGGGAGGCAGGAGUGGGGAAUAUUGCACAAUGGGCGGAAGCCUGAUGCAGCAACGCCGGGUGCGGGAAGACGGCCUUCGGGGUGUAAACCGCUUUCGCCUGUGACGAAGCGUGAGUGACGGGAAUGGGUAAAGAAGCACCGGCUAACUACGUG
rnacentral:rRNA from 1 species